AUUGAACGCUGGCGGCAUGGUUAAAACAUGCAAGUCGAACGAGAAAGCACUUCGGUGCGAGUAAAGUGGCGAAAGGGCGAGUAACGCGUGCCUUACGUACCUCCAGGUGCGGGAUAGCUCGGAGAAAUCCGUGGUAAUACCGCAUAAUCCGGGAAACCGGCAAAGGCUUGCUGCCUGAAGAUCGGGGUGCGUCCUAUCAGCUAGUUGGUGAGGUAAAUGCUCACCAAGGCUAAGACGGGUAGCGGGUGUGAGAGCACGGCCCGCCGCAUCGGGACUGAGACACUGCCCGG
rnacentral:rRNA from 1 species